AUGCGAAGCGACAUGGCAUAUCGCGGGCUGUCCCAACAUGUGGAACUAGACCGAGCUGCCGAUCCUCGGGACAGAUUCACGUUGCAGGAGCUCAUCGGCGAAGGCACAUAUGGCGAAGUAUACUGUGCCAGAGAUAAAAAGUCUGGUAGACGUGUAGCAGUCAAGAUCUUGGAAAACAUAGCUGAAAAUAUAGAAGAAAUCGAAGAAGAGUUUCUAGUUUUUAGAGACUUGUCUAGUCAUCCGAAUAUACCGGAGUUUUUUGGUUUGUUCUUGAAACGCGGCGCCAGCUCAGACGACGACCAAAUAUGGUUUGUGAUGGAGCUGUGCACCGGUGGUUCGGUAACUGAUUUAUGUGCUGGAAUGCGAGCGCGCGGUACAAAUAUUACUGAACCACAACUUGCAUAUGUAUUGCGGGGAACAGUUCGAGCACUAACUCACCUCCACGCUCACCGAUGUAUGCAUCGUGAUGUCAAAGGUCAUAACAUUCUUUUGACGGAAGAUGCUGAGGUCAAACUUGUCGACUUUGGAGUUUCCUCACAUUUGGCUGCUACAGCUGCGCGAAGAAAUACUUCAGUCGGUACCCCAUAUUGGAUGGCACCUGAGGUUAUCGCAUGUGAACAACAAUUAGAUGAGUCAUACGACUGUAGAUGUGAUGUAUGGUCAGUGGGUAUAACCGCUAUAGAACUGGCAGAAGGCGAACCUCCUUUAUCGGGAUUACAUCCGAUGCGAGCAUUAUUUCAAAUACCAAGAAAUCCGCCACCCAGCUUGUCUCAUCCAGAAAUAUUUUCGCCACAACUUUCCGAUUUUGUAGCAGACUGCUUAAUAAAAGAUAUGAAUCAAAGACCAUUCGCGAGAGAGCUCCUGGAACAUCCUCUGCUUCUUGCAGUUAGUAGCUUUGAAGACAAGAUCCGGAAAGAGUUACAAGCUGAAAUAAAACGACAGAGAGCAGAAGGACGAAGUUGUCGCGCUCCUGACGCAACUACAAAAAGGGGAAAAUUGAAAUCACACAGAAAAGCAAAACCUGAAAAAAUGUAUACUGACGACUUGGCAACGCUUGAAGUUUUAAGUGAAGAUUCCAUUGUUGAACAACUACAGAAUAGAUACAAUCAAAAUCAAAUUUAUACAUAUAUUGGAGAUAUAUUAGUGGCUGUUAAUCCAUUCACUGAUAUCGGCAUUUAUAACAGUAAGACUCAACAGGUUUACCAAGGACGGUGUAGGUCGGAUAAUCCGCCUCACAUCUUUGCCGUAGCUGAUGCAGCCCAUCAAGCACUAAUGCAUCAAAAACAAAACCAGGCCAUAGUGAUAUCUGGCGAGAGUGGGGCUGGGAAAACUGAAUCAGCAAAUCUUUUAUUAAAACAUCUUGUCUUCCUGUCUAAGACUCAGAAUCGUAAUUUAGAAGAAAAAAUUCUCCAAGUAAACCCAAUAAUGGAGGCAUUCGGCAACGCUCGCACUGGAAUAAACGCGAAUAGUUCACGUUUCGGAAAAUAUCUAGAUAUGUCUAUACUGGGAGUUGGAAGAAUAUCAGGAGCAAGGAUAUCAGUCUACCUUCUUGAGCAGUCUAGAGUUGUACACCAGGCUUUAGGUGAAAGCAAUUUCCACGUGUUCUACUAUCUGUAUGAUGGCUUAGAGAGCGAGGGCCGCUGGAGAAAGUUUUAUCUAGAUGAGCAACUAAAAUCUAGACAUCGUUAUCUUCAGCCCUUAUCUGUGGUUCAUAGAGAGCACAAUGUUCAUCGUUGGCGACAGCUCAAUCAAGCCUUUAAAGUAGUUGGAUUUCUAGACGAUGAAGUACAAAUAUUAUACAAGAUGCUCGCGGCAAUAUUACAUCUCGGCGACAUAGAGUUCGGUGAAACAGCUGGCGAAGAUAAUACUGAUAACAGAGCAACUAUAAUAGACACUGCACCACUGCACAGAGCUUCUUGCCUAUUGGGAGUUGAAACAGCAGAUCUGCGUGAAUGUUUAACAAGUAGCACAGUGGUCGCCCGAGGCGAAACUAUAGCCCGUCACAGUUCACCCACUGAAGCUGCCGUUGCCCGAGACGCUACAGCUCGUGGUCUAUAUGCAAGAGCAUUUGAUAGAAUCGUCGAAAGAAUUAACGCACUCCUCUCUCAAAAUAGACACCGUCACGAUCAACUCUCCAUCGGCAUUCUUGACAUAUUUGGGUUCGAAAACUUCAACAAAAAUUCAUUCGAGCAGCUCUGCAUUAACAUUGCCAACGAACAGAUCCAGUAUUACUUCAAUCAACACAUAUUUACAUGGGAGCAACAAGAAUACAUGGCUGAAGGUGUUCCAGUUGAUCUUGUCGAAUUUUCCGAUAACAGACCUGUACUGGACAUGUUACUGUCAAGACCAAUGGGCUUAUUAGCUCUGCUGGAUGAAGAAAGUCGUUUUCCAAGAGCCACUGACAGAAGUCUUAUUGAAAAGUUUCAUAGUAAUCUCAAAAGCAAAUAUUACGUUCGGCCAAAAUCUGAUGCAAUUUGUUUUGCAAUCCAUCAUUUUGCUGGUCGAGUCGUGUAUCAGGCAGAUGGGUUCUUAGAGAAGAAUCGUAACUUUUUGCCUCCUGAAGUCGUUCAGCUGAUGCGACAGAGUCAAUUCGAUAUCAUACGGUUCUUAUUUCAAUGUCCAAUCACGAAGACAGGGAAUCUAUAUUCACCGCUACAAGGAGAUAUGGAUAGAAGCUUGGAAAGUCCUUCUGGGGACACUCGAGAUCGAUUUAACAGUCGAGGACUUGCAUCGCAAUCACGAGCCCAGCAAACAGUCUCAACAUACUUCCGAUACUCGUUGAUGGAGCUUCUACAGAAGAUGGUGAGCGGCACUCCUCAGUUCGUGAGAUGUCUAAAGCCGAACGACUCCAGAUCUCCAAAGCACUUCGAUCCGCCCAAAAUACUAAAACAGCUUCGAUACACUGGAGUAUUAGAGACUAUCAGGAUAAGACAAAAUGGUUUUUCCCAUCGAUUGAGUUUCGAAGAAUUCUUGAAGCGAUAUGGCUUUUUGGCUUUUAGUCAUGAUGAAGAAAUAAAGCCCAGUCGGGACACAAGUCGUCUACUGCUGCUCAGAUUGAAGAUGGACGGCUGGGCCCUCGGCAAAUCCAAAGUGUUCCUCAAGUACUACCACGUUGAAAGACUCGCCAGAAUCUACGAGGAACAGAUAAGGAAAGUGAUCCUGGUGCAAGCCUGCGUCAGGGGGUGGCUGGCUCGCCGCUACGUGGAGCGGCUGAAGGUACAGAUGGCCAUCUCGGUGCUGACCCUCCAGCGACACGUGCGCGGUUGGCUCACCAGAAAGCGAAUCCGCGACCGACAGCGUCAGCUAGCCAGGGAGUUCCACGAUGAACAGAUGUGCGACAGUCAGGGGAUGCACAAAUCUGGUGCUCCGCUUAAAAACAAAGCGAUGAUGAAAGCCAAGAUACUAAGGAAAAUGACAUCACAAGACGGGGAAACAAACAAAGCGAAUUCCGGAAACAAAGAGAACAUCGACACCAAUAGAGCAGCUGUCGUUAUACAAAGUCAUUUCCGUGGGUAUACAGCCCGUCGCAAAUGGGCGAAGGGACGCGCUCCUCCACCCCCCGCGCACCCGCCACCCGCUGUGCCCUCCACGCCUUCUUCGCCGCACCAACAACUCAUGCAACAGUACUCAAUUCAGGAACGAGCAUCCCAACUACAGACUUUCGCAGAACAAGUCCACAACAAAAACCAAGAAGUCCACAAGAACCUACGUCACAACAAGCCCGGCAUCCGGCUACAGUCAGUUCAGCGUCCGCCCGAAGAGUACCGAGCGCCUCCCGGCUUCACACUCGUCCCAUCCAUCGUACGAGGACAACCGUCACAAAUCGAACAAGACGCCAGCAGACUCUCUAGUCCAUCACCUGAAUUUUUGGAAAGUCCUGCGAAGCCGUGGGAUGAGCCGCUAAAAAGCAAAAUAGAUUAUGACCUAACAUUAAGUCGGAACAGGUAUCAGCAAGUGAGCAACGGACACGAACCAGUCGUGGAAGAACGUCAUCGCCAAUCGAGUCAGAGCCGGCAGAAUUUACCGUGCAGCCGUCAAUGCAGCGGCCUCGUCAGGUACGAGAACUAUGUCGCCAACUACUGGCCCUGAUUAUAAUUAAGUACAUUUACGUUUCUCUCGCAUGUCUUACUCACUAACCGGAUCAAUAGAAACGAUGGCAACAAGAUUAGCGAACUGGUCCGGAACUCUCGUAAGGCGGAGCCUCCGAAGCCCGUAUACAAUAUCACUCACGAUCCGGAAUCAACACUACGAAAGAUCCUUCGCAACUCC
rnacentral:misc_RNA from 1 species